UAUUUUCUAUAGCAGCAGCCUGUCCUGACACAUCCUGAAAUUAGUACCUAGUAGUGGGGUGCUGCUGUCACAGCAGCCACAAAUGUAGCACAGACUUAGGGCUUGGACAGUGAAAACCCUAAUAUUAGGGGCUUGAAACAGAGUAACUUGUGUUCUGAAGGGGAAAAACUUUGGGUAAACUGAUAUCUGGAAUAACCUGGAAGGCAAAAUUUAUGUCUAAAAUCAUAUAGACUUAGGAUAGUGAUUCUAAUGUGCAACCAGGCUUGAGAAUCAAAGCUCUGGAACAGAGAUUAGCAAACUUUUUCUCUAAAGGGCAAAAGAGUAAAUGUUUUAGGCCUUGGGGAGCAAUACCAUCUCUUAAGAGAAUUCAACUCUACCAUUAUAAUAUGAACACAGCCAUGACAAUAUGUAAGUGCAUGGUUAUGGCUGUGUGCAGAUAAAACUUUACUUACAGGACAGGAAAGCAGGUGGAUUUUACCUGCAGGCCAUGGUUUGCUGAUCCAUUCUUUAGGACCGUGAUUCUCAAAUGUUUUCUUCACAGAGCUCCUUUCCACUUUUAAAAACUGUUGAGGAUCACAAAAACUUUUGCUUAUGGGUUAUACCUAGUAAGAAUUAUAUAAUGAAAUGAAAACUGAAGUCAAAAAACAUUAAUGAAUUGGAAAAAAUCAUAAAUCCAUUAUGUUAACAUAAGCAACAUGUUUUUAUGAUACCUGUACUUUCAAAGAAUUUAAUGAAAAGGAGGACAUUGUUUUAUAUUUUUGCAAAAUUCUAUACUAUCUAGAUUAAUAGAAGAUAGCUAGAUUUUCAUUUGUUUCUUCAUUCACUCUGUUGUGAUAUCUUUUUCUCUUUUUUUUUGAUUUUGAUUUUUUUCCAUUCUAGCUGGUUUACCGUGUUCUGUCAGUUUUCUACUAUACAGCAGGGUGACCCAGUUACACAUACACAUAUACAUUCCUUUUUCUCAUAUUAUCAUGCUCCACCAUAAGUGACUAGAUAUAAUUCCCAGUGCUAUACAGCAGGUGUUAAGUCUUUUUAAUUGAAGAACAUGAAGAAAAUCUGACCUCAUCCAGAUGCAUAGGUAUUUCUUCUGAGAAGAUCAGCUUCCUUCUUUUGUAGGAGUAUUUUAAUAACCUUUUCAGAUAGAUAACUGUGGAUAUUCUUGUAUAUCACCUGGUAAUUCAACAGGUGAUGAUUUCUUAAAAGUUGAUUGAUUGCAAGGUGGAAUAUGAAACCAUCUCAGUAAACAUUUCACAUGCUGCAACAUUAAAAUUCAUUGGUUUGACUGCUCUUUAAAGGGAUCAUUUACGUAGGCA
rnacentral:lncRNA from 1 species